CAGCCGUAAACUAUGCGCGUUAGGUGUAUCGGUGACCACGAGUUACCGAGGUGCCGAAGGGAAACCGUGAAACGUGCCGCCUGGGAAGUACGGUCGCAAGGCUGAAACUUAAAGGAAUUGGCGGGGGAGCACAACAACGGGUGGAGCCCGCGGUUCAAUUGGACUCAACGCCGGACAACUCACCGGGAACGACGGCAAUAUGUAGGCCAGGCUGAAGACCUUGCCUGAAUCGCUGAGAGGAGGUGCAUGGCGUAGACGUCU
rnacentral:rRNA from 1 species